UACGGAGGGUGCGAGCGUUGUCCGGAAUCAUUGGGCGUAAAGCGCGUGUAGGCGGGUCGGUAAGUCCGCUCUGAAAGCCCGGGGCUCAACCCCGGGAGGCGGGUGGAUACUGUCGACCUCGAGUCCGGAAGAGGCGAGUGGAAUUCCUGGUGUAGCGGUGAAAUGCGCAGAUAUCAGGAGGAACACCAAUGGCGAAGGCAGCUCGCUGGGACGGUACUGACGCUGAGACGCGAAAGCGUGGGGAGCAAACAGG
rnacentral:rRNA from 1 species